rnacentral:rRNA from 1 species
UUGAACGCUGGCGGCAUGCUUUACACAUGCAAGUCGAACGGUAACAGGUCUUCGGAUGCUGACGAGUGGCGAACGGGUGAGUAAUACAUCGGAACGUGCCUAGUAGUGGGGGAUAACUACUCGAAAGAGUAGCUAAUACCGCAUGAGAUCUACGGAUGAAAGCAGGGGACCUUCGGGCCUUGUGCUACUAGAGCGGCUGAUGGCAGAUUAGGUAGUUGGUGGGGUAAAGGCUUACCAAGCCUGCGAUCUGUAGCUGGUCUGAGAGGACGACCAGCCACACUGGGACUGAGACACGGCCCAGACUCCUACGGGAGGCAGCAGUGGGGAAUUUUGGACAAUGGGCGAAAGCCUGAUCCAGCAAUGCCGCGUGCAGGAUGAAGGCCCUCGGGUUGUAAACUGCUUUUGUACGGAACGAAAAGCCUGGGGCUAAUAUCCCCGGGUCAUGACGGUACCGUAAGAAUAAGCACCGGCUAACUACGUG